GCCGAAGUGGCGAAAUGGCAGACGCGCACGACUCAAAAUCGUGUCCCAGUGAUGGGGUGAGGGUUCGACUCCCUCUUUCGGCACCA
rnacentral:tRNA from 1 species